UAAAAUAUAUAAUUAUUUAUGUCUAACUUUUAAAUAUUUUAGAUUGUAUAUAUUAAAUAUAAAAUUUAUUUUUAGGAUCAUUUAGAUAUAAAUAAUACAAUAAAAAAUAAAAAAUAAAAACCAAUACAAUUAAGUUAAUUUUUUAUUUUAAUAAAUUUAAUUACGAAAAUUAUAUAAAAUAUACUAACUAAAUAUGUAAAGUUAAGCGAUACAUUCAAAUUGUGAAUUAAAAUGCUAUCAAUUAACUCAAAUCUAACAUAUAGAAAAAUUGGAUAAUAAAAAUAAAAGUUUGAAAGGUUGGAUAGGUGAUUCAAAAUGGUUCAUACUUUAGAAAAGUUUUAUAUGUUUUUGCUGUCAAACUUUAAUGCAAUAUUUAUAAUCUCAUGAGUGAUUAGUUUUACAUUUAAAAUUUUUUAAAAUAUCUAAAAUUUGAUUGGUUGAGUUUUAAUUUUAACAAUUAGGGUUUCUAAAAUUUAUGUAAUUUUCUUAUAUAAAAUUACUAACUAAAAAAAAUGAUCAACGCUCAACUCUGAACAAAAAUAAAAACAAAACAUAAAAAAUGAAUAAAUUGUGCUUUUGGUCCUCAAAUAAUAAAAUGCAUGAAAUUUAACUCCUCUAACUUUUAUGUAUUACAAUUUCUUACUCAAACUAUAAAGUAUAUGACAUGGUUUUUAAAUUUUUCCUGCUAAAUAAUUAGCUACAACAGGAUUUUUUUUAGUGAACGUGCCGGAUGUUACUGUAAAUAUAAUUUAUUAUUCUUAUGAUUUUUCUUUUAUUCUUUUUUAUCUUUCUUAUAGUUUUAUUCUUAUACUUUUAUUAGGGGCCGUUUGGUUGCGAUAUAAGGGGUGGGAUAAGGUGUUAUCCCACCCCUUAUACCCAAACAAAAAAAAUAUGGGGUGGGAUUGUGGGUUAUCCUUAGGGGUGGGAAUCAAUCCCCUUGUGUGGGAAUUGGGGUUGGGAUUAGCUAUUCCCACCCCAAUUUAAUUUUUUAAUUUAAAUUAAAUUUUGAAUUUUAAAUUUUAAAUUUUAAAUUUAAAAAUUUAUAAUUUGUAAUUUUAAAAUUAAUAUUUAUAAUUUUAAAUUUAAAUUGUUAUUUUAGAUUUUUAAAUUUUUAAAUUUAAAAUUUGAUAUUUUAUAUUUUUUAAAUUUAGAUUUGAUCUUAAAUUGAAAAUUUGAAAUUAAAAAUUUAGAACUUUAAAUUUUCAAAUUUGAGAUUUUUAAAUUCAAAUUUUAAUUUUAUAUUUUUAAAAUUUAAGAGUUAUAUAUUUAAAUUUAAAAUUUUAAAUAUAAAAUUUUAAUUCAAAAAUAAUAAAGAGGGCAAUUUAUUAUUUUCUAUUUAUAACCACCUACUAUUAGACCUGGCAAACGGGCGGGUUAUUGUACCCGCGGGUUACUUGGGUAUCAGUAAAAUUUACCCGCAAAUUUUUGGGUAGUCAAUAUCUUUACCCAUACCCAUCCGCGGGUGAGCGGAUGGGUGUGCGGGUUACCCGCAAAUUUUUUUUUUGUUCUUAUAUUUUUUAAAUGCAAAACACAUAUAUAUAAGUUUUAAAUAUGUAAGAUAACUCAUUGUUUAAAAUACCAUAACAUAUAAUAAAAAUAUUUAAAGUCUUAAAGAAAAAUAUUUCAUAAUAUAAAAGACACGUAAUAAGAAAUUAGGAUUAGAAUUUUUAGGAUGAGUAAAUAAAAGAUAUAUAUUAAUUAAGAAAAUAUAUUUUAUAACUAAAAAAUAUAUGUGCGGGUACCCAUGGGUACCCACGGGUUACCCAAAAUGCCUACUGCUUAAUGGGUACCCAUCCGUUUUACUCGUAAUUUUUUUGGUUGGAAAAGUUGGUACCCAUACCCGCAAAUUUUUGAGUAACCCGCGGGUAUCUGCGAGUUUGUGUCAAGAUUAUCAAGUCUACCUACUAUCCUUCUUAUUCCAUUUACUCCAACCAAAUACUAUUUUGCUUAUACCUGGGCUAAACCCAAUACUCAACCAAACACAAAAUUACUCUGUACUCACUUUAUACCUCAUCUUAUACCUAUCUCUGAAACCACUAGUUCUUACUUAUAUCCGAACCAAAUGAAGCCUUAAUGUAAUGUCAACUCUUUUUUCUUUAAAUUCUUCUAUUUUUAUUCUUUUUAAUUUUAUCUUUCUUUUUGCACUAUUUUUCUUUAAGCAGCUUAGAUUUGAAUAAAAUGUUAAAUUGGAUAUGCACAAAUGUAGAUUUUUUAUUUCCUUACAAUUUUUUAAAAAUUUAUUAAAUUAUUUUUGAUAAAAUUUUAUUAUAUAAAGUUAAAAAAAAUACCCGGCGCAUCGCGCGGGUUGCCAUCCUAGUAUAUAAUUAUAAUUGGGUAAAUUGCAUGUUUGGUACUCAAACUAUGAAGCGCGUGAUAUUUUCGUUCUCAAAUUUUAAUCUAUUAUAAUUUUUUACUCGAACUUUCAUAAUUAUAGCAAUUAAGUCUCACAAUCUAAUUUCGCUGACUAAAUAUUAAUAUGUUGUUGUCUUAAUUAUUAGCAUAACCAUUAAUUAUAAUAGUACUAGUGUAGUUACCCGCACGAUGCGGCGGGUAGAUAUUAUCAAAGCAAUUAUUUUUUUUAGUUAUUGUUGAUCAUCGAUAAUAGUUUGGAGAAAUAAGUCUUAAAUAUACACUUCAUCAAAUACAUAGAUGUGAGAUCCCAGGUGUUCAGCUGUGAAGGCUUGUCGACAGCUCUGGAGAGUGUCGGGACAAGUCCGAGUCCCGUUGCCGUGAAAUAGACGCAAAACGGACUCCGUGCGACGCGAGGGCAGCUUAUAGCGAAGAAAUCUGUAAAACAGCAGAUUUCUCUGCUUACUGUACCGGUACAACCAGCACGCUGUACCGGUACAACCAGCGCGCACUGGUUUAGCUGCUCUCGGGUU
rnacentral:lncRNA from 1 species